GUAUAUUUGUUAAGAGGCUAUUUGCAGAAGGCUUUCGUGGGGUGUCGAGCUGCUGGUUGUCAGUUCCACCUGGCAGAUACGAGCAAACACCUUCCUCUGGGGAGCACGUGGUGGAAGGUGAUGCUGUGAAGAUCCAAUUACACUGCACGAGUUACUUGAAAAAUGGGCAUCAUGUGGAAGAUACCAGAAUACACAGUAGCAAAGAGGUCCUAACUCCAAGAACUUAACUCUGCAGAGAGAGGAUGGGUGAUAAGAACAAGGAAAAGAGGUGAUCAGGUUAUGCCCUCACAUGGGACCCUGGAGUGCUCCUAUUACCCUACGCUGGCUCAGCAGUGAGUGCUUGUGAGUUGCCAACUCAUCAUCCAGCUCCUUAAAAAAUCUCGCAGUCCGUAUGUGGUAUAUUCAUGCUGUAGGAAAUGUAAUGAUGCUAUUAUAAAAUAAAUCCCUGUUAUGUUAAAUUGGGUGUCCUUUA
rnacentral:lncRNA from 1 species